rfam:Chryseobacterium arachidis strain DSM 27619 genome assembly, contig: Ga0131169_112
AAAGGGGAAGCUGAAAACCUUACAAUAGAGUAGGCG